rnacentral:lncRNA from 1 species
UCCUUUAGCUCUCGAAAACCUCCCGUAACUCACUUUUAAUCAUUUUAACACCUUCGGACUUUCCGAAGUGCACCGUCCUCGCACUUUUGUCAAUUUGACUAAUGUUCGACAUUUUUAUUUUCCGAAUUUUCGGUAUAUUACAAGAUGGGUGAGGGAUAGGGUUUUUUUUUUUUUGAUGAGAGGGGCGAGAGAUCGAUUGGAUACAGAGAGAGAAGGGUGAUGAUCUCACGGGCU